rnacentral:tRNA from 1 species
GAGCUGGCUUAGAGAAAUGAGAACUGCUAAUUCCUCACCACCAUGGUUCGAUUCCAUGGCCGACUCU